rnacentral:rRNA from 1 species
GUGAACGCUGGCGGUAGGCCUAACACCUGCAAGUCGAACGGCAGCACAGUAAGAGCUUGCUCUUACGGGUGGCGAGUGGCGGACGGGUGAGGAAUACAUCGGAAUCUACUUUUUCGUGGGGGAUAACGUAGGGAAACUUACGCUAAUACCGCAUACGACCUACGGGUGAAAGCAGGGGAUCUUCGGACCUUGCGCGAUUGAAUGGGCCGAUGUCGGAUUAGCUAGUUGGCGGGGUAAAGGCCCACCAAGGCGACGAUCCGUAGCUGGUCUGAGAGGAUGAUCAGCCACACUGGAACUGAGACACGGUCCAGACUCCUACGGGAGGCAGCAGUGGGGAAUAUUGGACAAUGGGCGCAAGCCUGAUCCAGCCAUACCGCGUGGGUGAAGAAGGCCAUCGGGUUGUAAAGCCCUUUUGUUGGGAAAGAAAAGCAGCAGGUUAAUACCCCGCUGUUCUGACGGUACCCAAAGAAUAAGCACCGGCUAACUUCGUG